GGGGGCGAUCGGAUUCGACGGGAAGCUGGUGAGUCGGGGCUGCAAGCCGAGAUCUCCGCUGUCCUCGUUAAACGCGGAAACCCAAUACCUGCCAACAACGAACUGGCACUCGCAGCUUAGUUGCUGUGACGUCCGCCUGACCCUCGCCGAUCAGGUUGGGACCGGGCGUAAUGAGAUCGGCCGAAGCGUGCGCCUGUGCUCGGUUAGCGCACGGGGGUAUUAGAAUCGAGCCCUCUGAAGUGGACCCCGCGCCCGGGGGCCGCCUCAGAUAAGUAAAGCGGGCGCUAAGCUUGUAGAUGCUCCGGACACGGUUUUUCGGACGCGGGUUCAAUUCCCGCCGCCUCCACCA
rnacentral:tmRNA from 1 species